UUUACUCUUGUUUUAAUAAACUUAUUUCAAAAGAAAAAGUAUCUGUUCUUAUCAGUUUAAUAUCUGAUACAUACCCCAUCGGGGUACUUCGAUAUUAAACUGAUUUUUGGACUUAGAUGAGGUGCCCGGAGCUUGCUCCGCCCUCAUCACGGGUUGCCCUGGUAUUGCAGUACUUGGCCCACCCUCAUAAU
rnacentral:snRNA from 1 species